rnacentral:lncRNA from 1 species
UUUUCUUUGAAACUUAAUACGAAGACAUACUUUUUCGUUUAUCGAUGGGGCAACUAAACGACUUGGAUUCAUCUACUAAAUCGAGAUCGUAUCAUUUAGUAUCAGAGCUGGUAAAAAUGAGAAGUACGUGCAUUCAAAGUCAUCCCGGAAUAGGUAUGAAAAAAAAUCUAAAAUUAAAGAAAAAAAGAAAUAUAUACGAAAUUUUUAAAAAAAAGUGAAUUAAAAAAAUCGUGAAUUAUUAAAAAAAAGUGUCUGUGUUUCAAGUGCUAUGAAUUGAGAAAGUUGUUUUCGUCUUGUAAGUCCGAUCAUUUCCCUAAUAUCAUUUCUUCCAUUUCACGCCACCCUUUACGAACC